AACGAACGCUGGCGGCAUGCCUAACACAUGCAAGUCGAACGGGAUCCUAGCUUGCUAGGUGAGAGUGGCGGACGGGUGAGUAACACGUGGGAAUCUGCCUUUUGGUUCGGGAUAACCGCGGGAAACUGCGGCUAAUACCGAAUGCCCUCGUGAGAGGAAAGAUUUAUCGCCAGAAGAGGAGCCCGCGUCCGAUUAGGUAGUUGGUGGGGUAAAGGCCUACCAAGCCGACGAUCGGUAGCUGGUCUGAGAGGAUGAUCAGCCACACUGGGACUGAGAUACGGCCCAGACUCCUACGGGAGGCAGCAGUGGGGAAUAUUGGACAAUGGGGCAACCCUGAUCCAGCAAUGCCGCGUGAGUGAUGAAGGCCUUAGGGUUGUAAAGCUCUUUUGCCAGGGAAGAUGAUGACUGUACCUGGAGAAUAAGCCCCGGCUAACUUCGUGCCAGCAGCCGCGGUAAU
rnacentral:rRNA from 1 species